rnacentral:misc_RNA from 1 species
GUGAAUCAUCGAAUCUUUGAACGCACAUUGCGCCCCCUGGUAUUCCGGGGGGCAUGCCUGUCCGAGCGUCAUUGCUGCCCUCAAGCCCGGCUUGUGUGUUGGGUCUCGUCCCCCCUCCCGGGGACGGGCCCGAAAGGCAGCGGCGGCACCGCGUCUGGUCCUCGAGCGUAUGGGGCUUUGUCACCCGCUCUGUAGGCCCGGCCGGCGCCUGCCGAUCAACCAAUUUCUUUCCAGGUUGACCUCGGAUCAGGUAGGGAUACCCGCUGAACUUAAGCAUAUCAAUAAGCGGAGGA